UACGUAGGGUGCAAGCGUUGUCCGGAAUUAUUGGGCGUAAAGAGCUCGUAGGCGGUCUGUUGCGUCGGCUGUGAAAACCCGGGGCUCAACCCCGGGCCUGCAGCCGAUACGGGCAGACUAGAGUUCGGCAGGGGAGACUGGAAUUCCUGGUGUAGCGGUGAAAUGCGCAGAUAUCAGGAGGAACACCCGUGGCGAAGGCGGCUCUCUGGGACGGUACUGACGCUGAGGCACGAAAGCGUGGGGAGCAAACAGG
rnacentral:rRNA from 1 species